rnacentral:rRNA from 1 species
GCCAAUCAAACCGGGAGAUAGCUGGUUCUCCCCGAAAGCUAUUUAGGUAGCGCCUCGUGAAUUCAUCUCCGGGGGUAGAGCACUGUUUCGGCUAGGGGGCCAUCCCGGCUUACCAACCCGAUGCAAACUGCGAAUACCGGAGAAUGUUAUCACGGGAGACACACGGCGGGUGCUAACGUCCGUCGUGAAGAGGGAAACAACCCAGACCGCCAGCUAAGGUCCCAAAGUCAUGGUUAAGUGGGAAACGAUGUGGGAAGGCCCAGACAGCCAGGAUGUUGGCUUAGAAGCAGCCAUCAUUUAAAGAAAGCGUAAUAGCUCACUGGUCGAGUCGGCCUGCGCGGAAGAUGUAACGGGGCUAAACCAUGCACCGAAGCUGCGGCAGCGACACUGUGUGUUGUUGGGUAGGGGAGCGUUCUGUAAGCCUGUGAAGGUGUGUCGUGAGGCAUGCUGGAGGUAUCAGAAGUGCGAAUGCUGACAUAAGUAACGAUAAAGCGGGUGAAAAGCCCGCUCGCCGGAAGACCAAGGGUUCCUGUCCAACGUUAAUCGGGGCAGGGUGAGUCGACCCCUAAGGCGAGGCCGAAAGGCGUAGUCGAUGGGAAACGGGUUAAUAUUCCCGUACUUGGUGUUACUGCGAAGGGGGGACGGAGAAGGCUAUGUUGGCCGGG